rnacentral:rRNA from 1 species
UCGGGAGGCAGCAGUGGGGAAUAUUGCACAAUGGGCGAAAGCCUGAUGCAGCAACGCCGCGUGAGGGAUGACGGCCUUCGGGUUGUAAACCUCUUUUAGCAAGGAAGAAGCGAAAGUGACGGUACUUGCAGAAAAAGCGCCGGCUAACUACGUGCCAGCAGCCGCGGUAAUACGUAGGGCGCAAGCGUUAUCCGGAAUUAUUGGGCGUAAAGAGCUCGUAGGCGGUUUGUCGCGUCUGCUGUGAAAACUGGAGGCUCAACCUCCAGCCUGCAGUGGGUACGGGCAGACUAGAGUGCGGUAGGGGAGAUUGGAAUUCCUGGUGUAGCGGUGGAAUGCGCAGAUAUCAGGAGGAACACCGAUGGCGAAGGCAGAUCUCUGGGCCGUAACUGACGCUGAGGAGCGAAAGGGUGGGGAGCAAACAGGCUUAGAUACCCUGGUAGUCCACCCCGUAAACGUUGGGAACUAGUUGUGGGGACCAUUCCACGGUUUCCGUGACGCAGCUAACGCA